GACAGAGGGUGCAAACGUUGUUCGGAAUUACUGGGCGUAAAGCGAGUGUAGGCGGUCUGCUAAGUCGGGUGUGAAAGCCCCGGGCUCAACCCGGGAAGUGCACUCGAAACUGGCAGGCUAGAGUACUGGAGAGGUUGGUGGAAUUCUCGGUGUAGAGGUGAAAUUCGUAGAUAUCGAGAGGAACACCGGUGGCGAAGGCGACUACCUGGCCUGUUCUUGACGCUGAGGCGCGAAAGCUAGGGGAGCAAACGGG
rnacentral:rRNA from 1 species